GUGUUGUGGCUCAGUGGUAGAGCGCUUGCCUAGCAUGCGUGAGGCACUGGGUUUGAUCCUCAGCACUGCAUA
rnacentral:tRNA from 1 species